CCAAUCUGAAAUAUGUCAAAACAUAAACAGAUAUUCCAGAUUGGACCUCUGGUCAUAAAUCUUUAGAAGUUUAAAUUUUUUUAACUUUUUGGUAAAAAUAUAAUGGUACGGCAGCUGAAAACAUGUAAAAAUAUAAAAGGCUAGGAUCCACAGAAAUCGUCUGGCCCUAUAUGUGGAUAGGAUAAGCAGAGCAUUCCAUCAGGAACUAAAUUCAUGCAGGUCGUGAUUAAUGUGACUGGCAUUGGUCAUCACCGCGGUCAGAUGACCCCUCUAUCCAAUGUAUCGACGAAGGACUCUUGGAUUUGGAGCAUCAACUGGAAGUCGAACGGGGAAAGUUGGCAGUAUUCAAGAAGGGUUUAGAGCGAUAGAUCUACCUCGCACGCGUACUUCAUCAGAAUCAUCCGGAAUUGACAGAGUAGUGAAACUCUGAGAAGUAUCCGUCCGAAACAUACCUUAAAUGGUCACAGCCAAAAGAAUCAGGACAAUGUUCACCGGUGUAAGUGGUAAGAAGCGGCUGGUUGCCUGUGGACCGGAAAACAACAAAGGCGAUGUAGCACAGUCCAUUGCCAAGCCAGCAAUUGUUCCUCAAGAACUCGACAAGAAUGCUUUGAGCAAGUACAACGAAACAUCCGUGAAGGCGAACGGGAAUGGAAUAUUGCUUUCCUUUAAAAAACGGUCUACUACCAGAGUCCGAACUAUUAAAAAAUUUAUUGUAGUAAAGCAUUCAUUAUGAAUCUCAGUCGUUAGAGGACUUUGUAAUAAUAUACAAUCGCUAAAUAUGAUGUUCUAUGAUACUAUUCAACUAUAUAAAUAGAUUUAAACUGGUUAAUGCUAUUUUUUCUGAGAAAAUAAAUGCUUUGGUUUCGA